AAAAAAAAAAAAUUACGAUUCGAACUAAAAAGGAAUAUGUGUGUUAAUUCCUUCUACAUGUAUUAUAAAUAUACUAGUAAAGAUUUAGACGUCCUUAUUUUCCCAUAUAAUUAUAAUAACAAAAACAAACAAAAUUCAUGUUAUUCGUGGAGGGCCAAUGAAUAAUGUUACAUGCACAUCUGGUGAUAGGCACAUGCAUGAAAUUGGACCACAGCUCAGGUGUUAUGGUUUUUGAUGACCCCUUGCUCCAUCUAGCCACAAAUUUGAAGCAAAUGAUAGGUUUUAAAAAAUCUGAAAUUGAUGAGCUCCAGACAUAUGCUAGAAACAAAUUGAAACAAUUAAAAUAAAUUAUUUGCUUCAGUUUUGUGGCUAAAAAUGAAUUGAAGCAAAUAGAGAAACCAAAAAGGUUGAAAGCUAUAAUAUAUGGUGGAGAAUCUAAUCUUUAUGGAGGAGGCAUCAGGUAACCACGUAAAAGGGACAGAUUUAUCAUCUAGGCGAGCCCUAAUGGUUGGUCCUUGGUAGGAUUAGACAUUAGAGGCAGCGAUCCGAGUUUUAGAAAUUCAUCAAAAACAUCCCUGAAAGACGAUUUCUAGCAAAUUUUAGGUGGCUAAUUAGUCAUGAAUUCAAGAUAUAUAACAAAGGUUGGAUUCGAAGGUAGUGUGCUUUAAGGACACACCUUAAGAUAAUAAGAUCAUGUGAACUGAAGGUUGCGACAUAUCACAUCGCCGUGCAAUUAAAGAGACAAAACAAA
rnacentral:lncRNA from 1 species